UGCUCCUACCCCCCUAGAGGCUUACAUUUGCCCUGCCAUAGGCCUGGGUCCAGAAACCCAUUUACCCUACCUCAAGGGUAAUAAAAAUCCCAGAUCUCCUCUCUAGCCAGAAGUCUCCCAGAGGUUUAUGGGGAAGCCCUGGCCUUCAGGAAAGCCUACAUAGGCCCAGAUGGCUGGGCUUCUCACUGUUAAAGAUUUCCAAGGACAGGGUACCAUAUGUACGUCCUUCAGUAUCUCACAAAUCUACUUGGUGGGAUGGAUUUCCUGAGGUCUAACCUCAAUCCCUUUUCUUGCCCUGGAAGCCCACCAUUGAAAUACAAUAUCCCGUAAGCAAAUUCUCUUUAACCACCUUUCUGAAAAGUAAAACUCAAGAAUCAAGUCACCCCUGCUUACUGUCUCCAGACUAACUCAACCUUGUUGCUUCCUUUUACGUUUUUAGACGGUUGAACCUCCCCCUUCCAAGUCAUACUCACACUCCUCAAGCUCUUAAGCCUGUCCCGGGUACCAAAGUCCGUGAGUACUCCAGUAUGCUAGCACCAGCUACAUGCCCCCCUCUUUUCCAGGCCAUGAUGACUGACUUGUGCUCCGUGACUGCCUAGGUCUUAGGGCUCAGGUCUUUCCUCUGACUCUGCCCUCUCUGUGCCAGUCUUUCCCUUUCCCCCCAUCCCUCCCUAGCUUUUCAGUUUGGUGAGGCUGAGAGAUGAAGAAUUGGGUCAGAGUCUCAAUGGCAUCGAUUGCUUCUGCUUUCCCUUCUUUUCUGGCCUGGCUUUCUUCCCUCCCCACCCCCAACCUAUUUUUAGCCUGCCUCUGUUUUCCUUAGUCUGGUUGGCAACCAUGCCGGCCUCUUUCCCUUCUCUGCCCUUAUCUCUCCCCUGCAGCCUGUGCAGACCCUAGCUGCCCUUCCAGAGGUCCCUCAUUGUCUGCCUGAUGCAGUGUGAUUUUCCUCCAUCUUGAAGAUAUGUCGGGUCUGCGUGAAAGAGGGUGCCUGGCCAUGCUCAAGCAGGAGGGAAGCAGGGAGCUCCUGGAAGCAACCAUUCCACCGCCUGUCCCUGUGACUGCUGUCAGUACGUCACCUUCAUCUUCAUAAGGACCUGACAAUACACCCUAAUGAGAGACUGGGGAGCUAAGCAUCUUUACAGAGCCAGAGAGAGGAUGAGAACCAGACAAAGAAUCCAGGGAGAGAGGGUGCAGGGCACUGAGGAGAUAAAGACCCAAGGAUUCCUGGGGUCAUGGACUCUGUGGCGCCGAUUGAGAGUGAAAGUCUCCAAGAAAUAAGGUCGCACGGGAAAUAAAGCCCACUGCAGACUUUAAUGCAAUGCAGCAAUUCAUGUAUUUGCUUGCUCAACAC